rnacentral:rRNA from 1 species
AGUAAAUAGAUACCCGGGUAGUCCACGCCGUAAACGAUGAAUACUAGGUGUGGGGGUUGUCAUGACCUCCGUGCCGCCGCUAAACGCAUUAAGUAUUCCGCCUGGGGAGUACGGUCGCAAGAUUAAAACUCAAAGGAAUUGACGGGGGCCCGCACAAGCAGCGGAGCAUGUGGUUUAAUUCGAAGCAACGCGAAGAACCUUACCUAGACUUGACAUCUCCUGAAUUACUCUGUAAUGGAGGAAGCCCUUCGGGGCAGGAAGACAGGUGGUGCAUGGUUGUCGUCAGCUCGUGUCGUGAGAUGUUGGGUUAAGUCCCGCAACGAGCGCAACCCUUAUUGUUAGUUGCUACCAUUUAGUUGAGCACUCUAGCGAGACUGCCCGGGUUAACCGGGAGGAAGGUGGGGAUGACGUCAAAUCAUCAUGCCCCUUAUGUCUAGGGCUACACACGUGCUACAAUGGCUGGUACAGAGAGAUGCAAUACCGCGAGUGGAGCCAAACUUCAAAACCAGUCUCAGUUCGGAUUGUAGGCUGAAACUCGCCUAC